AAAAUCUUCCCUCGCCCUACUGCUGGUCCUCUUCGCCCCGUCGUUCAUGGCCAGACUUUGAAAUAUAACAUGAAAUUAAGGGCUGGCAGAGGCUUUACUCUUGAGGAACUCAAGGUUUCUUUCUUCUUUUUCUUUUAGUUUCAUUUUCGAUAAUUGAUUAGAUUAAUAUAUUGCUUAUGCAUUCACAUUAUGUUAAUUAUGAUUCAGUUGAUGUUUCUUUGUUAUUAUUGCUUUAGUUAAUCUUAUUCUCUUUACCCUAAGGCUGCUGGAAUUCCCAAGAAACUGGCUCCAACAAUUGGCAUUUCUGUCGAUCAUCGACGCAAGAACCGUUCUCUUGAGGGUCUUCAAUCUAAUGUUCAGAGGCUGAAGACUUACAAGGCCAAGUUGGUUGUUUUCCCAAGACGUGCUCGCAAGUUUAAGGUAAUUUUUUUAAUUUAAAUCUGCUAGGUAAGAGAUUCUAUUUUAUUUAUUUUUUGUCAUUGGUUAUCUUGAUUUAUAUCUGGAUGCUUUGCAGGCUGGUGAUUCUGCUCCUGAGGAAUUGGCAACAGCAACUCAAGUACAAGGACCUUACAUGCCCAUUACUCUUGAGAAGCCUACUGUCAACCUUGUUAAGGUUACUCAAGAUAUGAAGUCCUUCAAGGCUUAUGACAAGCUCCGGAUUGAGCGUGUGAAUGAGCGCCAUUUUGGUGCCAGGUUGAAGAAGGCUGCAGAGGCUGAAAAGGAAGAGAAGAAGUAAACAAACUUGUUUAAGCAGCACCUUGAGUGUGGCACUACAUUUUACAUUUCAAUUUUGAAUCUGUUUGUUAUAGUGAUUUCAAUCUCUUAGCUUUAGGCUUGAAGAAGCUAUUUUAUUUUGAAUGUGGAAAGAUUUCUUGGUUAUAUUAUUUGCAAUGGACAUACCCUAUGGUUGUCUUGUUUUUUAAUCCUUUACAGCAUUGGCAAUUUUAAAAUGUUGGCAUAUUUUGUCUGGGGUGCAUUAUUGCAAUGCAAAUUGUGUUUGACCAGUGUUUAAUUUGGAUAGUAGCUAAAGCAACUUUUUUUU
rnacentral:lncRNA from 1 species